rnacentral:tRNA from 1 species
UAGACAGACGCUUGUUGGUUUUAAGCGCUUAACUGUUAAUUAAGAGUUUGCAGGAUCGAAGCCUGCCUGUCUAG